CCUACUGGAGGCAGCAGUGGGGAAUAUUGGGCAAUGGGCGCAAGCCUGACCCAGCAACGCCGCGUGAAGGAAGAAGGCUUUCGGGUUGUAAACUUCUUUUCUGAGGGACGACGAAAGUGACGGUACCUCAGGAAUAAGCCACGGCUAACUACGUGCCAGCAGCCGCGGUAAUACGUAGGUGGCAAGCGUUAUUCGGAUUUAUUGGGUGUAAAGGGCGUGUAGGCGGGAAAGAAAGUCAGAUGUGAAACCUCAGGGCUCAACCCUGAGCCUGCAUUUGACACUGUUGUUCUUGUGUGCUGGAGAGGCAAUCGGAAUUCCGUGUGUAGCGGUGAAAUGCGUAGAUAUACGGAGGAACACCAGUGGCGAAGGCGGAUUGCUGGACAGUAACUGACGCUGAGGCGCGAAAGCGUGGGGAGCAAACAGGAUUAGAUACCCGGGUAGUC
rnacentral:rRNA from 1 species